GAUGAACGCUAGCGGCAGGCUUAACACAUGCAAGUCGAGGGGCAGCAUACCCGGCAACGGGUGAUGGCGACCGGCGUAAGGGUGAGUAACGCGUGAGCAACAUACCCGUAUCAGGGAGAUAAUACAGGGAAACUUGUUCUAAUAUUCCAUAAUAUUAUCCAGAGGCAUCUUUGGAUACUUAAAGUUACGACGGAUACGGAAUGGCUCGCGUGACAUUAGUUAGAUGGUAGGGUAAUGGCCUACCAUGACUAUGAUGUCUAGGGGUUCUGAGAGGGAGGUCCCCCACACUGGUACUGAGACACGGACCAGACUCCUACGGGAGGCAGCAGUGAGGAAUAUUGGUCAAUGGGCGCAAGCCUGAACCAGCCAUCCCGCGUGCAGGAAGAAGGCGCUAUGCGUU
rnacentral:rRNA from 1 species